UAAGCGAUGAGAGACAAUGAUA
rnacentral:miRNA from 1 species